AGAAGAGGAAGAAGAAACAGGUUUAAUAUCUAGAAUAUAACUUCUUUAUGCAGUUUCUUUUUCUUUGUUUGUUAGUUUUUGUUGUUUCGAGUCAUGAUUUUAAACACUCCGAUACAGUAGGUGGAGGCAUGCACCUUUAACGUUGGUUUGUAGUCCGCCAUACCAAAGAAGAAGGGGGAGGAGGACAAGGAAAAGGAGGAGGAGAAGGAGAAGGAGAAGGAGAGGCAGAGGAAGGAGAAGGAGGAGAAGAAGAAGGAGUGAAGAAGAAGAAGAAGAAGGAGAAGAAGUUGACCCACACGUGCAGACGGAAAGACAGGUGGAUAAAUAGCAACAUACUGGAAAAACACGGCAAAAUGUUAGUCGAUGAGAAAGUGACGUUAAUAUUAAUCUUCCAGCGUGAAAAAUUAAAGUUUUAUGCACAUUUGGCGGCGAACUAGCUUCCGUCUUAUCCAAUGAGGACUCGUCCAGCAGUAUAUCUGCAUGUGGAGGGCCUUAACGGUAAUUAAAGAUCAACUGAGGAAGACGACCUGCACACAGUGAUGAGCAGAAAAGCAUCCCAGACACCGCAACAUGUCCAAAGGAAGGCUCAACCAAGUGCUCAGGUCGUCUUGCUGAAAUGAAUGCAGAGCUCUGAUUAUUGACGUAAGUAUGAGCGCCUGACUGGUCUGUUUGUUUUUAUUUAAUAUGUUUUGUAUAUGAAUAAAAUUGUGAAGCAAACUUGGUGGUUGUGUGUGAUGUU